rnacentral:lncRNA from 1 species
UAAGGAUUAACAUGGUGCUGCAUACAGAAGAGUUCUUGCCGAACUAUCAGCUAAGGUUUGACACGUAAACCCCAUUAUAACUGAUCUGUGGCCUCUCACAAGGCAGAUCCUGAAGGAGCAGCGCAUCUUAUGCUUUGAACAUUACAACAGCCGUCAUGGGUUUGGAUGGUCUUCCUUUACUGUUGCUAUCCCUUGUGAAAAGGGUAAUCAAUUUCUAACAAGGGACUGGAUGCAGAAAAAUUGCAUGUGAAACUCAUUUGGGAAGAACUGAGUUUGCCUGUGGUCUGUAUUAUACAGCAAUAAAAGACAAAGUGGUGGAACUUUUUGUUCA